CUUUUGACUGUUUAUUUUUAUUUUCUUUAAUUUUCCCCUUGAUUCUGAAGAAAAUCCCAAGUCCCCGUUGCACGUUAAUCUUACAGCCUCUUUGGUUUCGUCCAUUCAGUUCUUGGGAGAAGACCCAAUUUUAAGCCAUUAAUUCCAUUGUCGCUAUCAGACAGACUAUCGUUUCUAGACCAUCGAAUAUUCAGUUGACUUUCUUGGGAAAACCCAUUUAGGCUGUCAACCCCUCUCGUGCGUUGCCACCCUCUCCUUUUUUUUUUUUCUUGAAAGUCUCUGUUCUUCAAGAAGGCCAUAGAGAGAAUGCGCAAAUUCUUCUUUUCAGGUUUAUGAUUUGGGGUAUGCCAGAUUGAUGCGAUUUCAGAAAUGACUCUAACGAGCCAAGACGGGAAGAAGAAGUCAUUCAUUCGGAAUAUGUUUGCCAGAAGGGAGAGAAAUGAUAGGGAAAUGAAUAAAGGCACAUUUUAUAUCCCUGAAGCAGAGUCUGAUCCAAGGCUUAAAAGUCUAGUUUUUACUGGCACAGGACAUCCGAUGUCUCUUAGUCAAGAUGUUCAGACUUUUAGAGUCUUUGUAGCAACAUGGAAUGUAGGUGGAAAAUCUCCCAAUAGUGACCUUAACCUGGAUGAUAUUCUUCACGCAGAUCAAUCAGAUAUAUAUAUCUUGGGUUUUCAGGAAAUUGUUCCUUUAAAUGCUGGAAAUGUCCUAGUCAUAGAAGAUAAUGAGCCUGCAGCGAAAUGGUUAGCCCUGAUUAAUCAGUCACUUAACAAAUCAUCGGAGCUGGCAUCAAGAGGAUUAAAACCCACUUCCUCCCUUGGUAGUUCCUUGUUCUUCUCAAAGUAUUCCCUUAAAAAGAUCAGUAAGACUUUUAGGACAGAGAGCGGAAGGAGGCUGAAGACUUGCAACUGCAAUCUUGAAUUAGAAAGGAAGCAGAGUAAGGAUCUCUGUUUUCGAUGCCAACAAUCGCAUAUAAGCGAAGAUGAAUUUUCUUCAGAAGAGGAUGAUGAUGUACCUAAUGGAAUUGACAUUGCGGGAAUUUCUUUUCCCUCAAGUACCAACCAGAUGAAUUACAGUCUUGUAGCCAUUAAGCAAAUGGUGGGAAUUUUUGUCACUGUUUGGGCAAGGAAGGAGCUUGUACAGCAUAUAGGCCACUUGAGGAUCUCCUGCAUUAGUCGUGGGAUUAUGGGCUGCCUUGGAAACAAGGGGUGUAUUUCUGUGAGCAUGUCAUUCCAUCAGACAAGCUUUUGCUUUGUCUGCAGUCACUUGGCAUCUGGAGAGAAGGAGGGGGAUGAACUUAGAAGAAAUAUGGAUGUCAUUGAGAUAUUGAAAAACACGCAGUUUCCAAAUAUCUGCAGAUCAGUUCACAGUAGGGUGCCAGAGAAAAUCCUUGAACAUGAUCGGAUCAUUUGGUUAGGGGACUUGAAUUACCGAAUAGCUUUGAGUUACUCGGACGCAAGAAAGCUCCUGGAGGAGAAUGCCUGGGAUGCACUUCUGGACAAAGAUCAGCUAAAAAUUGAAAGAGAAGCAGGGAGAGUAUUCAAGGGAUGGAAAGAGGGUAAGAUCUACUUUGCCCCCACAUACAAAUACUCUAGCAAUUCAGACACCUAUGCUGGAGAGACAAAAAAAUCAAAAAAGAAAAGGAGAACUCCUGCUUGGUGUGAUAGAAUACUAUGGCAUGGAACUGGGAUACGGCUGCUUUCUUACAUACGUGGGGAGUCUAAGUUUUCUGAUCACCGGCCUGUUUGUGCAACAUUUUUGGUGGAUGUUGAUGUUGUAUCAGGUGGAUUAAAGAAGGGAUUAUCUGGCUCUAACAUGAAAGUUAGGAUUGAAGAGCUUUUACCUCCAACUAGAAAUCUAUUCAUUGAAUAAGUUCAUGCACAAAGUAUUAUGAUUUUAGUUCUGUUUAGUGGUGACUUUAAGGAGGGGUACCACAGUACCGAGUAAAAGCAUGAAGGGGCUCAAUAGUUAACAUGGCUCAAGCCACGGUUCAUCCAUCUUCUAUGUCUUCAACAUUGCCUUCAUCUUCUCAAGACCUCCUACAUUCACACUCGGAACAGAAGAAUCCGAGUACAACUGGCCGGCCUGUGGUUGACAGUCUUCGAAGAAUACCUCCUAGUGUUCCCAAUCCCACGCAGAACAAGUGGCCCAGGCCGAAGCCUCGGACAAUAGGCUGAAGACAGCUUACAUUAGCUUGAAUCUGUCAAGGCUUAGAUAUGGGUCUGCAUGCAAGAUAUAAUAUGCACUUAUUUUUUUUUUUUUUAUAUUCAGUUAUGUUAGUUUAGAAGUAGGUUAGCUAUCUGUGUCUGUCUAUCUAUAACUACUUUUACUAGGCGAAAUAUAAGAUUAGGAACAACAGAAAGAACAAUGCAAAAUGACAUUAUCUUCAAAAGCAAUGCAGCUAGUUAGCUAGCUAGGAACAACAGGCCGUUUUGAUGCUUUGUAAGAUUGCUUGUAGUCAUGUAGCUAGGGUACGCAGCUUAUAUAUUGUGCUUUUGUAACUUGAAAAGUUAUGUAUUCAUGAUUCAUCUAAUGUAA